ACUUAUGCUUUGUUUUGUUAUUGUGUUUUGUCUUGUCUUGGUUCCUAACUUUAUCUUUGUUUUCCAAUGCAGCUCUUCAUUCUGUCCUAUGCGCCGAGGAUCGCUUGGAAGCAGCCUCUCUGCCCUUUUGGGUAGGGGUAAGGCAUUCUACAUAUUACCUUCCCCAGACUCCACCUGGUGGGAGUAUACUGGAUAGUUG
rnacentral:lncRNA from 1 species